rnacentral:rRNA from 1 species
UACGAAGGGGGCUAGCGUUGCUCGGAAUUACUGGGCGUAAAGCGCACGUAGGCGGAUUGUUAAGUCGGGGGUGAAAUCCUGGAGCUCAACUCCAGAACUGCCUUCGAUACUGGCGAUCUCGAGUUCGGGAGAGGUGAGUGGAACUGCGAGUGUAGAGGUGAAAUUCGUAGAUAUUCGCAAGAACACCAGUGGCGAAGGCGGCUCACUGGCCCGAUACUGACGCUGAGGUGCGAAAGCGUGGGGAGCAAACAGU